rnacentral:rRNA from 1 species
UACGGAGGGAGCUAGCGUUGUUCGGAAUUACUGGGCGUAAAGAGCUCGUAGGCGGUUUGUCGCGUCUGCCGUGAAAGUCCGGGGCUCAACUCCGGAUCUGCGGUGGGUACGGGCAGACUAGAGUGAUGUAGGGGAGACUGGAAUUCCUGGUGUAGCGGUGAAAUGCGCAGAUAUCAGGAGGAACACCGAUGGCGAAGGCAGGUCUCUGGGCAUUAACUGACGCUGAGGAGCGAAAGCAUGGGGAGCGAACAGG